GCUUUGGUGUUGAAGAGGAGUAGUAAUCUUUACUGUCGUUUAUUAGAGAGCAGGCGGUUGGUGGAAGCCUGUACGAUAGAGAUGAACUCGCCUUGGAGCCUGCAUUGGUGAAUUAUUUGAUUUACUAACCCGUGCCGUUUUCCGCGUUAAGGAGUCAAGUUGGGCGGCUUUGUCGUCAAUUUGGGUGGCACCGCGGGAAUUAUACUACUCUCGUCCCUUAU
rnacentral:ncRNA from 1 species